CAGUGACCUGGGAGAGGCCACUCUGAAGAUUGUGGGCGUGACCACGGAAGAUGACGGCAUCUACACGUGCAUCGCUGUCAAUGACAUGGGUUCAGCCUCAUCGUCGGCCAGCCUGAGGGUCCUAGGUCCAGGGAUGGAUGGGAUCAUGGUGACCUGGAAAGACAACUUUGACUCCUUCUACAGUGAAGUGGCUGAGCUUGGCAGGGGCAGAUUCUCUGUCGUUAAGAAAUGUGAUCAGAAAGGAACCAAGCGAGCAGUGGCCACUAAGUUUGUGAACAAGAAGUUGAUGAAGCGCGACCAGGUCACCCAUGAGCUUGGCAUCCUGCAGAGCCUCCAGCACCCCCUGCUUGUCGGCCUCCUCGACACCUUUGAGACCCCCACCAGCUACAUCCUGGUCUUAGAAAUGUGCGUACACACCUGGCCUUCCCUCUGCCCAGCCCUCUGCCUCCACCUCAGGGGGUUUUGUUGUUCCUGUUUGUUCUCUAA
rnacentral:sRNA from 1 species